CCGGAGACUAACUCUAGAGAAACCGGGGCUAAUACCGGACUACCCACCAGAGGACGCAUGUUCUUUGGUGGAAAGGCUCCGCCGGUUCGGUGAUGGGCUCGCGGUCUAUCAGCUUGUUGGUGGUGGUAAGCGGCCUACCAAGGCGACCACGGGUAGCCGGCCUUAGAGGGUGUCCGGCCACACUGGGUACUGAGACACGGCCCAGACUCCUACGGGAGGCAGCAGUAGGAAUCUUGUCGCAAUGGGCGAAAGCCUGACGCAGCGACGCCGCGUGGGGGACGCAAGCCUUCGUGGUUGUAACCCCUUUCAUCGGGGAAGAAGUCGAAUAGUGACUGUACCCGCAGAAGAAGCCCCGGCCAACUACGUGCCAGCAGCCGCGGUAAUACGUAGAGGGCGAGCGUUGUCCGGAUUCACUGGGCGUAAAGAGCUCGUAGCGGCUACGGAAGUCGGCUGCUGAAAGCCCGGGGCUCAACCCCGGGAGGCCAGUCGAUACUCCGUGGCUAGAGGACGGCAGAGGGAGAUGGAAUCCCGGUGUAGCGGUGAAAAUGCGCAGAUAUCGGGAGGAACACCAGUGGCGAAGGCGGUCUCCUGGGCCGUUCCUGACGGUGAGGAGCGAAAGCUGGGGGAGCGAACAGGAUUUGAUACCCUGGUAGUCCCAGCCGUAAAACGAUGGGGCACUAGGCGUGGGGGGUUGUCUACACCUUCCGUGCCGAAGCUAACGCGUUAAGUGUCCCGCCUGGGGAGUACGGCCGCAAGGCUAAAACUCAAAGGAAUUGACGGGGGCCCGCACAAGCAGCGGAGCGUGGGGUUUAAUUCGAGGCUACACGAAGAACCUUACCCGGGCUUGACAUGCGCGUGGUAGGGAAGGGAAACCGGACCGACCCGCAAGGGAGCGCGCACAGGUGCUGCAUGGCUGUCGUCAGCUCGUGCCGUGAGGUGUUAGGUUAAGUCCUGUAACGAGCGCAACCCCUGCCCCUAGUUACACGUGUCUAGGGGGACUGCCAGCGAUAAGCUGGAGGAAGGUGGGGAUGACGUCAAGUCAGCAUGGCCUGUAUGUCCUGGGCGACACACACGCUACAAUGGCCGGUGCAAUGGGCAGCCAACCCGCGAGGGGGAGCCAAUCCCAUCAAAGCCGGUCUCAGUUGGGAUUGCAGGCUGCAACCCGCCUGCAUGAAGGCGGAGUUGCUAGUAACCGCGCAUCAGCCAUGGUGCGGUGAAUACGUUCCCGGGCCUUGCACACACCGCCCGUCACGUCAUGGGAGCUGGCAACACCUGAAGCCGAAGGGCCAACCGCAAGGAGGCAGCCGUCGAGGGUGGGGCUGGCGACU
rnacentral:rRNA from 1 species